UACGUAGGGGGCAAGCGUUACUCGGAUUUAUUGGGCGUAAAGCGAAUGUAGGCGGUUUAGUAAGUCAGAGGUGAAAUCCCCCAGCUCAACUGGGGAAUUGCCUUUGAUACUGCUAAACUUGAGGACAGGAGAGGAAAGUGGAAUUCCCGGUGUAGCGGUGGAAUGCGUAGAUAUCGGGAGGAACACCAGAGGCGAAGGCGGCUUUCUGGACUGGUCCUGACGCUGAGAUUCGAAAGCCAGGGGAGCAAACAGG
rnacentral:rRNA from 1 species